rnacentral:rRNA from 2 species
GGGUUGUGAGGUUAAGCGACUAAGCGUACACGGUGGAUGCCCUGGCAGUCAGAGGCGAUGAAGGACGUGCUAAUCUGCGAUAAGCGCCGGUAAGGUGAUAUGAACCGUUAUAACCGGCGAUUUCCGAAUGGGGAAACCCAGUGUGACUCGUCACACUAUCAUUAACUGAAUCCAUAGGUUAAUGAGGCGAACCGGGGGAACUGAAACAUCUAAGUACCCCGAGGAAAAGAAAUCAACCGAGAUUCCCCCAGUAGCGGCGAGCGAACGGGGAGGAGCCCAGAGCCUGAAUCAGCAUGUGUGUUAGUGGAAGCGUCUGGAAAGGCGCGCGAUACAGGGUGACAGCCCCGUACACAAAAGCGCAUAUGCUGUGAGCUCGAUGAGUAGGGCGGGACACGUGGUAUCCUGUCUGAAUAUGGGGGGACCAUCCUCCAAGGCUAAAUACUCCUGACUGACCGAUAGUGAACCAGUACCGUGAGGGAAAGGCGAAAAGAACCCCGGCGAGGGGAGUGAAAAAGAACCUGAAACCGUGUACGUACAAGCAGUGGGAGCCCCACCACUAAGCCAGUGGUGAACUCCACAUACGCAUCCUUUGCUGAGGAUACGGUUAACGGAGCGAAAGCGACGUUCAACCGCAAAAGAAGCAGAGGGGGCUUAGUGGUGGGGUGACUGCGUACCUUUUGUAUAAUGGGUCAGCGACUUAUAUUCUGUAGCAAGGUUAACCGAAUAGGGGAGCCGGAGGGAAACCGAGUCUUAAUUGGGCGUUAAGUUGCAGGGUAUAGACCCGAAACCCGGUGAUCUAGCCAUGGGCAGGUUGAAGGUUGGGUAACACUAACUGGAGGACCGAACCGACUAAUGUUGAAAAAUUAGCGGAUGACCUGUGGCUGGGGGUGAAAGGCCAAUCAAACCGGGAGAUAGCUGGUUCUCCCCGAAAGCUAUUUAGGUAGCGCCUCGUGAAUUCAUCUCCGGGGGUAGAGCACUGUUUCGGCUAGGGGGCCAUCCCGGCUUACCAACCCGAUGCAAACUGCGAAUACCGGAGAAUGUUAUCACGGGAGACACACGGCGGGUGCUAACGUCCGUC